UCUUCUCCAUGUCUUCGAUUCCCAUACAUCUACACCACCAAUCAUUACUACCAUGGCACUCAAAAAAUCUAUCUUUUUCGUUUUCUUCUGCCACCGCCAUCCAUCUAUUUUAUAUAUUUACUUCUUAAUUAUUUCAUCUGAUAGUUUUUUUUUUUACAUCGACAUACUUCAUAAUCAACUAAUGAUAUAUAUUUAUGUGAUCAUUGGAUAUCCACCAGGUCGUGGCCGGAUAAAGAGGUGAUCAUCCGGAUUGAAAUCUACAAUCCAUCAGGGAUUGGAUUUCUUUUGGGGGGUUUCAUCACAUGCGAAGUUCAUAGCCAUUUGUUGACUUAAGAAGAAAACACAAAGACCUUUACCUGUAGAUGUCCAAGUGUCUUAAAGAUCCAUUUUUCAAGUUUUAGUGAAUGCAGUUCUGUUGCUAAAGUUCCCUUCGUUGGUUGCCUACUUUUGGGGCUCUGGUAAUUGCUUGGCCUCCAGUUAGAUAUUUCUAUAAUAAAAAAGUUGUCUAGAAAUUUGAAGAAUAUCGAAGAAGUGGAUUGAAAACCUGGUCCUGGUGCUCUAUUUGUUAAAGUUAGCAUGGGUGGUGCUCCUGGGGAAGGUCGACUUAAGGUGUUACACUAAUUAUUAAGAACUUUCAAUGGCUCUAGAGAAAAUGUUUAGAUGUUUCAUUAUUGGUUAGAUGUUUUAAUUGUAAUCUGUUUUUGGCUAGAAUAAGAAGUUUCCAAGCUUUUGGCCGGAGUAGAGGUAGCGUGUAUUAUUGAAUUGAUCAAAUAAUCUUACAUUUUAUACGGGUUUAUAUAAA